CAGAAUCACCAAUGAGGUUCAUGAGAAAACAACUCUACCUAACUUAUCCAAUUAGGUGACAUAAAAGUAUCUCGCGUAUCAAACUAUACAAGUAACUAGUAUUUGUGAAAAUAGUAAAACAUUCCCGCAUUAUGUUGAUGAUCAGUCAUCAUUUCGACAUCUCUGCUUCUUUAACCGAUCACAACAACACUUAGAUGAUAAUCACGCCUAAUUAAAAAAAAAAAAAAAAUUCCAAAUGACGAGUAGGAACUGACGACACGAGAUUGACGAACUCUGAAAAUGACGCGGAGGCACGAGGAAGUUCCCAAGGAAAAAACGAGAGGGAAAAGUUGAGCGUAAGACGGGAGGGCCGUCAAUUCGGCAAUAACGAGAACAACUGCAACCACCGCCGUCUUGGCCGUCGAAAGAGCGAGCGAUUCGACGCGUGCGGUACGAAGAAGGUAUACCGAUGUGCUCGACAAGGCUGGAAAGAGUAUGUGGCAGAACGACUUCAAAUCAAAGGCUGCAAACGAUAUGGCUGAAGACCCAUUGCCAACUUGCAGGCUAUGUGAGACACGUGUUGGCAAUAAGAUGAUGUGGAUUAACAGACUAAUUUGAAGAUGUCGACUGUGGGGCCUUUGCAACGCCUUGCAAAUUUAUUAGUUUAACAUAGCCUCACAGUUAUUUCUGUAUCUUUAGUACUAAUACAAAACUGGGCUGUUGGUACAUUCUUGGUUACUUUUUCUCUUGUCUUUUCUCCUUGGUUACUUUGUUUGUCUCUGUCUUAACUGACUUUUGAACUGCUAGUAUCUGCUGCACUUGAGAUAAUUUUUAUUCAUCCGUUUAAAUAUUUAAAACAAAACUUGUGACAUCUUUUUGCAUUUUUUGGAAGUCUGAUGUUCCGCCCACUGUCUGACAUGUCUUUAAUAUCUCAAGUUUAAAGAAACUCUCUAGCUUCUGUCAGUUUAAACUUCAGGGAGUUUUGAAUUUUUGAGAACUGUCAGGCGUCUAUUGUCUGUCACCUUUUCAAAAGGUUUUAAAGAUUCGUAACUCUUGGUCUAAACAGACUUCGUUUCUGUCUAGGUGCUGUCUCUUUAACUUUAUAACUUUACUCAGUUUAUCACAUAUACCUUAAAUUGAUGAAAUUUACCUUCAUUGAGGAUGAAAUUAUCAUAUAUCACCGAGCUCAAGAUCUGAAUUUUCAUACAUCACUCAGGAUUAAAUCAUCAUAUAUAACUAAGAUUGAAUAAGCUCUCUCCUUAUAAAUUAUCAUAUAUAUAUCAUAUAUACUUAUAUAUGAUAUGAUGAAAUUUAAUAUAUCAUAUAUACCUUAAAUUGCUGAAAUUUAACUUAAUUUCAUAACUCUGGAUGAAAUUAUCAUAUAUAACUUAAAUUAAAUAAGGCUGUCUUCUUAGGUUCUGUUUCUGAGAUUUAGCACAUUAAACUGGAAAUCAAUGAAAGCUGUCUACUUGUACUUGAAAUAUUAAUGAUACUGUUUUCUGUCUGUAAGAUGUAGCUAGUUGAUACUUAGUUAAAUUCCCUCAUAUUCUCUCGGGUUGUUUGUCUGUCGACAAUAAUUAUCUGGCAUUUGUUAAGGUCUCAUCGUAGGGGAAAGAACCAAAUGCUCCUCUUGGCUUGGAAUUAUUUGGAGGUGGAUGGCUUAAUAUUUUCAAGCACUGUCUCACGAAUUGAAUGUCUGAGGCUUAAAUCUGUCUGAUUUACCUUAAAAUAUCAUGUAAAUCUGUUUAAAAAUCUGAUUUACAUUAAAAUAUCGUGUAAAUCAAACCAGUUUUCAUAGAUUUUGUCUGUUGUCAAUUCUACCACCACACUCAAACUCAUGACUCAUGGUUAACAUAAUCAAAUUCUCAUCUUUAAAGAGUUCAAAUAAAAGCAGAAGGUAUAUGUGUCGCACAAAUUUCCCUUCAGUGAAUUGUUGAAAUAGUUUCCCUUUUCACCACUGAAGUCUGUCUCCUGCUCCUAUUGCUAUUUUGAAUUUGAGACUAAUUUAAUUUGUUCGUUAUGAAUCUGACUAUGUUUAGUUUGUAAUUGGCUACUAUUGUAGUGAAUAUACUCUGCCACCUUACACAAUUGGUUUAAAAUAGGCUACCAUUAUUACAGGUCACCAACCACAUUGAACUGCAGAACUAGAACAUACAGGUCACUAUUAGUUACAUAUGUUCUGUUUUAUUUACAUUCAAUUGCAAAGCUUUAACUAACUGUCACUUUAAACUAAUAAAGUUGUGCACUAUUGGUUACACAAAACUUUAUUUGCAUUCAAUUGCAAAACUUGAACUAAUUGUAACUUUAAGCUAAUAAAGUUGUAUAGUCUUGGUCUAA